CGGGGCUGCCCCCGCCAGAGGACCCCCCCGAACUCGGUUUCUAGCAGGUCUCUUGUGAGUACAACCAGCAAAUAAAAUUAAAACUUUCCACAACGGAUUUAAAGCUUUCGGCAUCGGAGAAGAAGGCAGCGAAAUGGGAUAAGUAAUGAGAAUUGCAGAAUACAGUGAAUCAUUGAAUCUUUGAACGCACAUUGCGCCCGCCAGUAUUCUGGCGGGCAUGCCUGUUCGAGCGUCAUUACAACCCUCAGGCCCCCGGGCCUGGCGUUGGGGAUCGGCGGAGCGCCCCCUGCGGGCACGACGCCGUCCCCCAAAUACAGUGGCGGUCCCGCCGCAGCUUCCAUUGCGUAGUAGCUAACACCUCGCAACUGGAGAGCGGCGCGGCCACGCCGUAAAACACCCCAACUUCUGAAUGUGACCUCGAAUCAGUAGAUCCGUC
rnacentral:rRNA from 1 species